rnacentral:rRNA from 1 species
UACAGAGGUCCCAAGCGUUGCUCGGAUUCCCUGGGCGUAAAGGGUGCGUAGGCGGUCGGAUAAGUCUGAUGUGAAAUCUUCGAGCUCAACUCGGAAACUGCAUCGGAAACUAUUCGGCUAGAGGAUUGGAGGGGAGACUGGAAUUCUCGGUGUAGCAGUGAAAUGCGUAGAUAUCGAGAGGAACACCAGUGGCGAAGGCGAGUCUCUGGACAAUUCCUGACGCUGAGGCACGAAAGCUAGGGGAGCAAACAGG